GAGUUUGAUCCUGGCUCAGGACGAACGCUGGCGGCGUGCUUAACACAUGCAAGUCGAGGGCACUUGGGGGGCAACUCUUAAGUGACCGGCGAACGGGUGCGUAACAUGUGAGCGACCUUGCCUCGUGGUGGGGGAUAGCCGGCCCAACGGCCGUGUAAUACCGCAUAGGGUGGUUUUCUCGCAUGGGAGAACCAGCAAAGCUUGGCAGCAAUGCCUGGCGCCACAGGGGGGGCUCGCGGCCUAUCAGCUAGUUGGGGGGGUAAUGGCCCACCAAGGCGACGACGGGUAGCUGGUCUGACAGGAUGGCCAGCCACAUUGGGACUGAGAGACGGCCCAGACUCCUACGGGAGGCAGCAGUGGGGAAUCUUGCGCAAUGGCCGAAAGGCUGACGCAGCGACGCCGCGUGAGGGAUGAAGGCCUUCGGGUCGUAAACCUCUUUCAGCAGGGAAGAAGCGAAAGUGACGGUACCUGCAGAAGAAGCACCGGCUAACUACGUGCCAGCAGCCGCGGUAAUACGUAGGGUGCAAGCGUUGUCCGGAAUUAUUGGGCGUAAAGAGCUCGUAGGCGGUCUGUCGCGUCUGGUGUGAAAACUCAGGGCUUAACCCUGAGCUUGCAUCGGGUACGGGCAGACUAGAGUGUGCUAGGGGAGACUGGAAUUCCUGGUGUAGCGGUGAAAUGCGCAGAUAUCAGGAGGAACACCGGUGGCGAAGGCGGGUCUCUGGGGCAUAACUGACGCUGAGGAGCGAAAGCAUGGGGAGCGAACAGGAUUAGAUACCCUGGUAGUCCAUGCCGUAAACGUUGGGCGCUAGGUGUGGGGCUCAUUCCACGAGUUCCGUGCCGCAGCAAACGCAUUAAGCGCCCCGCCUGGGGAGUACGGCCGCAAGGCUAAAACUCAAAGGAAUUGACGGGGGCCCGCACAAGCGGCGGAGCAUGCGGAUUAAUUCGAUGCAACGCGAAGAACCUUACCAAGGCUUGACAUGGGGUGAAAACUCGCAGAGAUGCGGGGUCCGCAAGGGCGCCUCACAGGUGGUGCAUGGCUGUCGUCAGCUCGUGUCGUGAGAUGUUGGGUUAAGUCCCGCAACGAGCGCAACCCUCGUUCCAUGUUGCCAGCGCGUUAUGGCGGGGACUCAUGGAAGACUGCCGGGGUCAACUCGGAGGAAGGUGGGGAUGACGUCAAGUCAUCAUGCCCCUUAUGUCCAGGGCUUCACGCAUGCUACAAUGGCCGGUACAAACCGUUGCGAUACCGUAAGGUUGAGCGAAUCGGAAAAAGCCGGUCUCAGUUCGGAUCGGGGUCUGCAACUCGACCCCGUGAAGUCGGAGUCGCUAGUAAUCGCAGAUCAGCAACGCUGCGGUGAUACGUUCCCGGGCCUUGUACACAC
rnacentral:rRNA from 1 species